UAGGGGAUAUUGCAAAAUGGGCGAAAGCCCGAUGCAGCAACGCCGCGUGGGCGAUGAAGGCCUUCGGGUCGUAAAGCCCUUUUUGAGGGGAUGAGGAAGGACAGUACCCUCAGAAUAAGCCUCGGCUAACUACGUGCCAGCAGCCGCGGUAAAACGUAGGAGGCGAGCGUUAUCCGGAUUUACUGGGCGUAAAGCGCGUGCAGGCGGAUUGGAGAGUUGGAUGUGAAAGCUCCCGGCUUAACUGGGAGAGGUCGUUCAAUACUUCCAGUCUUGAGUGCAGUAGAGGGAAGUGGAAUUCCGGGUGUAGUGGUGAAAUGCGUAGAUAUCCGGAGGAACACCAGUGGCGAAAGCGGCUUCCUGGACUGUAACUGACGCUCAGACGCGAAAGCUAGGGUAGCAAACG
rnacentral:rRNA from 1 species